rnacentral:rRNA from 1 species
UACAGAGGGUGCGAGCGUUGUUCGGAAUUACUGGGCGUAAAGCGCGCGCAGGCGGCCCUUUAAGUCUGACGGUGAAAUGCCGGGGCUCAACCCCGUGCCCGCCGCGGAUACUGGAGGGCUGGAGACACGUAGAGGCAAGCGGAAUUCCGGGUGUAGCGGUGGAAUGCGUAGAGAUCAGGAGGAACACCGGUGGCGAAGGCGGGUCUCUGGGCAGUAACUGACGCUGAGGAGCGAAAGCGUGGGGAGCGAACAGG